rnacentral:rRNA from 1 species
AACGAACGCUGGCGGCAGGCUUAACACAUGCAAGUCGAGCGCCCCGCAAGGGGAGCGGCAGACGGUUGAGUAACGCGCGGGAAUCUACCCAUCCCUACGGAAUAGCUCCGGGAAACUGGAAUUAAUACCGUAUACGCCCUACGGGGGAAAGAUUUAUCGGGGAUGGAUGAGCCCGCGUUGGAUUAGCUAGUUGGUGGGUUAAAGGCCUACCAAGGCGACGAUCCAUAGCUGGUCUGAGAGGAUGAUCAGCCACAUUGGGACUGAGACACGGCCCAAACUCCUACGGGAGGCAGCAGUGGGGAAUAUUGGACAAUGGGGGCAACCCUGAUCCAGCCAUGCCGCGUGAGUGAUGAAGGCCUUAGGGUUGUAAAGCUCUUUCACCGGGGAAGAUAAUGACGGUACCCGGAGAAGAAGCCCCGGCUAACUUCGUGCCAGCAGCCGCAGUAACAC